rnacentral:misc_RNA from 1 species
CACCACGAGAGUUUGUAACACCCGAAGUCGGUGAGGUAACCUUUUGGAGCCAGCCGCCGAAGGUGGGACAGAUGAUUGGGGUGAAGUCGUAACAAGGUAGCCGUAUUGGAAGGUGCGGCUGGAUCACCUCCUUUCUAAGGAUAUUAUACGGAAUAUAAGACCUUGCGGUCUUAUAGACAGGUGCGUUUGGAUCUUGUUUAGUUUUGAAGGAUCAUUCCUUCAAAGCGUGUUCUUUGAAAACUAGAUAACGAAAGUAGACAUUCACAUUCAAUUGUAAUGCAAGAUAUCACGUAGUGAUUCUUUUUAACGGUUAAGUUAGAAAGGGCGCACGGUGGAUGCCUGCACUGAGCAAAGCCUCCCCCAUAUAAGAU